rnacentral:lncRNA from 1 species
CAAACUUUAAAACUAAAAUGUCCGGGUUGUGCCAAGUAAUGCAAAGUUAAUUGAGGUGAGGAAAUCCCACUUUUAUAAAAUGUUUUAAUACUCUAAAAUGAUUAAAACGGUAGUUAAAACGAUUGAAUAAGUGCCUUUGAUAUUUUUUUAAAAAAAUCAUAAACUAUUUUAUUUUGAGGUAAAACUUUUAGGGUAGUGGGUUGUUUUGAAACACUAAGUUGGAGCUAUUGUCAUAUUUUACUAAACAAAGAAUAAAUUGUAACUAAAGUGAAAACAGAAAAGAAAUAGAUAAAAAAAGAAAAUUAACAGAAAAGUAAAAAAGAGGAAAACCCACUUGGCCCAACUGGGCCAUGGCCCAGCAGAUCGAUGUGCUAGCCGGCCCAGCUAAGCAGGCCUAUAUGGUCCCCUGCCCACGACCGAACCCUAACCGGUCAACCCCACUCACCCCCACGUCUCUCUCUCUCGUUCCCCCCGUUUUGGAUCUGGCUCCGGCGCCCCUCACCUCCCCGCUUGACGAUGCCUCACAUGGCGCCGACCCCGUCGCCCCCGGAUCCCCGUCGGCCGGAACGCCUCGCCGCCCUCCUCCUCGACGGACCUCCCCGCCGGACUACCUCCCCAUUGACGUCGUCUUCGACUCCCUCCCCGACUCCGCAGCCUCGUCCCUACACGCCCCUGUGAGGCCACGGCCUCCGCCCUCCUCCUCCUUCCCCCGUUUCCUCAUUGCUCGGCGCCGUUCACCGCGUGCGUGACACGCCCGCGCGCCGAUUCCGCUACCCGCCUUCACCAGCUCCUGGCACCGGACGCCUUUGCCAUUGCUGCGUGCGCGCGCAUCCGCGCUUGGCCACGCCCCGGCUUGCCGGCGCAUGCCCACGCCCCACCGCAUGCGCUGCGUGUGCCCAUGCUCUCCGCCCCGCUCCACCGUGCGUUGCCGCCCCUGACCGCGUCCCACCCCUGCUGUUGCUUCUCUGACGCCCACGCGCCUGCUCGUCACCGGCCUCGCUCCCCGCCUCCGCCACCGCUACUUGCCCCACCUGUUGUUGCAUCCUCGGCUCCCCACGUCGUCGCCUCGCUUCCGUCCCGCGGUGGCUCUGCUGCUGCUCCACAGCACCGGUAUCCUCCUCUGGCGAUUGCCCGCAUCGCCACGGCCUCGCCGCCCCCUCGGGCGCCUUGUUGGGCGGUCGCGCCCGCUAAACGUGGCCCGGCGCCUAGCACCCGAUGCCCGCACCCGCCUUUGGCCCUCUGGGCCAAUGACAUGCCGGACCCACGCCGUAGAACGAAAAAAAGAUAUUUAAUAAAAAUAAUAAUAGAUAAAUAAAUAAGUAAAAACAAUUUAAAUAUUAAUUAAUUAAUUAAUUAAUCAACGAAUUAAUUAACUUAAUUAAUCUUUGUUAGGUUGACCUAAUUACUAAUGAAACUAAUUAAUCUGUUUAAUUAGUCUUAGUCAAUGACAGUAGGACCCACGCGUCGGUUUGACCCAGUCAACUGACUGGUUGACUGCUGACAUUGUGAUGAUGUCAUGCUGACGUCAGAAAUGUAUUUUAGUAUUAAAUUAAUUCUGUUAAUUCUAGAAAAUGAUUUAAAAACUUUAAAAAUUAAUAUAAAAUAAUUUGUAGCUCAGAUGAAAAUACUUUGUAUAUGAAAAUUGAUCAGAACGACGAGACGAAUCCGAAUACGCAGCCCGUUCGUCUGCCACGCAUCCCUAGCAUAGCUAACACGUAACUUUCCCCCUCUGAUUCAUCUGUCCGAAAACGCGAAACACCGAGGAUAUUUUCCCGGAUGUUUCCCCCUUCACCGGUAUCAUCUCAUACCGCUUUAGGUCACCUCUAGCACCGCAUAUUGUCUCGUUAUGCUUUGUGAUACUUUGAUUGCUCUAUUAUUUAUUGUAUUCCCCUCCAUUACUCUUUUCCGGUAGACCCCGAGUCUGUCGGCGACCCUAGUUCGACUAUGGUGUUGACGACCCCUCUCUCUUGCCAGAGCAACCAGGCAAGCCCCCCCCCCCUUGAUCACCAGAUAUCGCCUACUCUACUCUCUAUAUUGCUUGCAUUAGAGUAGUGUAGCAUGUUACUGCUUUCCGUUAAUCCUAUCCUGAUGCAUAGCCUGUCAUUGUUGCUACAACUGUUGAUACCUUACCUGCAAUCCUAAAUGCUUAGUAUAGGAUGCUAGUUUACCAUCAGUGGCCCUACAUUCUUGUCCGUCUGCCAUGCUAUACUAUCGGGCCGUGAUCACUCGGGAGUUGAUCACGGGUAUAUACUUAUAUACAUAAUAUAUGAUACGUGAGUGAUUCACGGAUUGGGUCCGAAAGGACGUUUGUUCCGACGGCCCUCUGAGUGAAACUUUGUGGCGAAGCGACAGGGUAGGUUGAGACCACCUAGGAGAGAGGUGGGCCUGGCCCUGGUCGGCGUUUGCAGUUAUUUCAAGAUAACACAUUUAACGAGAUCUUGGUAUUUGAUCUGAGUCUGGCUACUGGCCUAUACGCACUAACCAUCUACGCGGGGACAAUUAUGGGCACUCGAUGUGGUGGUAUCAGCCAAAGCCUUCGUGACAUCAGUGACUGAGCGGCGCGCGCCGAAUUGGACUGGAACGCCUGCUAGGCUAGGUCUGCUUUCGGCCGUGUUCACAACGUGCAGGUGUGCAAAGGGCGAUGGGCCCAGACCCCUGCGCCAUAGGAUUUAGACCGGCGUGCUGACCUCUCUGUUGUGCCUAGGUAGGGUUGCGAUGUGUUGAUCUUCCGAGGCUACGCAUGACCCAGGAAAGUGUGUCCGGCCAAAUGGGAUCGAGCGUGUUGGGUUAUGUGGUGCACCCCUGCAGGGAAGUUAAUCUAUUCGAAUAGCCGUGAUCUUCAGUAACAGGACGACUUGGAGUUGUACCUUGACCUUGUGACAACUAGAACCGGAUACUUAAUAAAACACACCCUUCCAAGUGCCAGAUACAACCGGUGGUCGCUCUCUCAUAGGGCGGCGAGGGGAGGAUCAUCGGUUAGGAUUAUGCUAUACAAUGCUACUUGGUGAACUUACCAUCUACUCUCUCCUCCUGCUGCAAGAUGGAGGUUACCAGAAGCGUAGUAUUCGAAAGGACUAGCUAUCCCCCUCUUAUUCCGGCUUUCUGCAAUUCAGUCCACAUAGGAUAUCCUUAUUCCAUUUGAUACCAAUGCAUACAUAUGUAGUGUAGCUCCUUGCUUGCGAGUACUUUGGUUGAGUACUCAUGGUUGCUUUGCUCCCUCUUUUCCCCCUUUCUAUACUCAAUUGUUGCGACCAUACGUUGGAGCCCAAGAGCCAGAUGCCACCGUCGAUGACGACUACUACUACUCGAGAGGUGCCUACUAUUACGUGCAGCCCGCUGACGACGACCAGGAGUAGUUUAGGAGGAUCCCAGGCAGGAGGCCUGCGCCUCUGUCGAUUUGUAUCUCAGUUUGUGCUAGCCUUCUUAAGGCAAACUUGUUUAUCUUAUGUCUGUACUCAGAUAUUGUUGCUUCCGCUGACUCGUCUAUGAUCGAGCUCUUGUAUUCGAGCCCUCGAGGCCCCUGGCUUGUAAUAUGAUGCUUGUAUGACUUAUUUUAUUUGUAGAGUUGUGUUGUGAUAUCUUCCCGUGAGUCUCUGAUCUUGAUCGUACACGUUUGCGUGUAUGAUUAGUGUACGAUUGAAUCGGGGGCAUCACAAGUUGGUAUCAGAGCCGACUGCCUGUAGGAAUCCCCCUUCCACGCUCCUUGGCCGAAGUUGAGUCUAGACAUUACAAAAAAACUUUUACUAACAUGGCUGUGUGCCUUACGGGCCCACGUCACCAUCUGGGUGGUAUUAGGAUCUUUUACUCCUCGAUCCUUACCCUGGGACUCUGAUCUCUCUUCUAUUCGGGUUAAAUGAUUUUGCUAAAAUCUAACUCUAGGUUCUCGUUACCACUUCCUGCCGGAGAACCCUUUCAUUACGGAUGGUCGACUGCUUCAACAGAAGAUUCUGACAAUACUCUCCGAUAUUUUCUCGAGACCUUGUGCCUGUUGCUUUUGCAAUUCCCUACCACCGAAAAAUCCCUAUGGAUAAAUACUUACACUUGUCGUUCUUACUUUUAUUCCCAGUUGGUCUUGUUAUUACAAGAUACCCCAUAAUACUCGUCGUUGUUUCGAUAAUCCUUUGGGCUUACUGCCUUAUUGUUCUUUGUCACCUGAAUACCCCUACGGAUAAUUCUCGCACUUAUCGAGUAUCCGCUUAUCCCCCAAUUGUUCAUGUGUUUCACAAUGGUCAUCGAAAUACUAUUCGAUCCUCCAAAAAUCCAUAGUAGCUUAUUGCUCUGCAAUACUUGUCUGCUUGCAUGAUGGAUGCUUUCCAUAUGUCUGGCAAUAUUCGUUAGUAUCCUCAGGCACGUCAUUUUGAUCCCUUUGAUUCAACAUGAGUGCGAAUGCGCGCAAUCAUCAGUUGAUCCUUUUAAAUUAUCUUUCUGGCUCAGACGUCAUUUUAAACAUGAGCUGGUUCUCAACAGAUCCAAUUGUCGUCGAUUGUACCCCUAAGGCUAUUCAACUUAUCCAUCCCUAAUCAGAACAUCGCUUCUGAUCCCUUGAUUUGAACAUCAUAAUUCCUUUGCAUUUGAGCUCUAGAUUAGUCAGUUGUUUCCAUAAUCCAAUGCCUUUGCAUUAUUACUUCCUCUGGUUGUGUGCCGAUGCUCACGUCAGCUCUGUUAUGGACCGGCAGAUCCUUUAAUGGAUUUUAUCCGGCAGCGUCCUUCAUAUUCAAUAACCUUGUGAGCCUUCCCUCAGAUACAUAAUGCCUUUGGUAAAUUGUAUCAUGUACUUUCUCAACCUUGCUCUACUUUCGAGCUUGUGAUAUUUACCCUUGAAACUUGUGGUAUAUGUUUCUAAGAAGCCCCUAUGGGUUGAACAUAUGCCUUCUCUAAACUGUGUGAACUCAAAAGUUUUCACGAGUCAUACACUUCUGGUAUUUUGCCAGAUGAAAUUUCAACACUACAACUUCUUCAAAAGUGAGAAGUGAAUGAAAGGUUAUGUAUUGGAGAAGUGGGAGUCGACCUUGAACUUUAUGUUCAUGCCCAUGGACACGAUGUAGAUCUUAUCGUUAAAGCUUCUCUUAAGUUAAAUUAUUCCUUUGGUAUAAGUUCAUCUUAUAUCUGGGAUCUGGCCUUUUGCAAUCGUGGUUCCGACCAUGUUCCCCUUUAAAUACCAUUUCGCGUGCAAGUUUAAGCGCUUGUCUUCUGUAGAGCAAUACCCCAGUCCAACCUCUACUUUGAUCUGUCAUCGAGUAUUACCCCCUCUGGUAUCUCGAGAUUAUCACGGAACUGCAUAACUUCUUAUGAGUUCUUCUUCAAGUAUUAUUUGACUUUUGCUGCAUCAUCAUUUGACUUGAUGUCAUCGCCAACCGAUUACAUCUUCAUGAAAUCUCUCGACAAAUGUGUCGUGGUCAUCAUCAACAUCCUGAGCUCUUCCAAGUUAUAUAUCAAAUCCUUGAUGAGAAAUACCAUCCUCGCCCCUCAAUGGUUUGUGUUAUCCUCGACCACCUUAUUGCCUUCCGUUCAACACAAUCUUAUUCGUGUUUUGUGUUAUAUCUUCAGAUCCUUGCUAUCCAGCAUUUGUUCUUCUUUACCUUGGAAUAUUACCACCUUUUAUGUCAAGAAUGUCGUGGUAAUUUUACCACCUCUUGAGAAUUCUUGAUAUAGUAAUAUCUCUCGCCUUUUGCGUUCAUUUCUUGGUCUCCGUGUUGUUUCUAACAGGAAUACCGGCAAAUGGUCUGUGAUGUGUAAAUUCUAAACUUCUAGCAACCCUAUUGCUUUGAAGUUAUUGGUCUACAGUUUCAUUCUAAGUCUAUUGCUUAUUGAAUCAUCAUUCGAACAUUGAUCGUGCUACCUAGUCCAGAUUCCUGGGUGCACCCUUCUAUCAUUGUUCAGUUGUGUAUGUUUCCCUCGAGCAUACAUCAUUAUAUCAUUUGAUCCGACAAAUGAUAUUUCCUUGUUCACAUAAUUGUGGAAAUCAAUCCUUUGGAAAUCUCGAUGAUUUGUUGCUGAGCCUAUCAGCCACCUCCUCAUCCUCUCCUUGGUUUACUAAAGAACUCUUGUUUCGGAGCUCACUUCCAUAGAUCAUUUCUGAGAAUCUCACAAUGUCAUCUCGUCAAAUCGUGUUGCACCUUUUCUUCUCAGGCAUCCUGAGUCUGAAGUAUCCUGACACCAAUCAAAUAUGGAUCCCGGUCAGAUAUGAUGGUUGGGACUCAUUUUCCAAGAGUUAUAACGUUGGUCUUUAUAUGACCCGGUAAGGUGAUGCCAUGCCUAGCACACCUGGCUGGAGGGCCUAUUGUUAUAGUUCUUCCUUUUAGCAAGAUUAUCCAUUCUUCCAUGAGGAAUUUGUAAGGCUUAUUCUACAAGUUCUUCCUGAUGGAUCCUUCGUGUAUCCGAAGUGUAAUCUUUGCUUGACGGCCAUGUCAAUGCUAUCUCGAAGCAUGUCUAUGGUACUCCGAUUUCAACAAAAACGUUUGAAGCCCAAUGCUAAAUGUUUCCUGCUUGAUUAUCCAAACACCGCUGUAUGGGUAAUGUCAUGAAAAUUCUUCCCCUAACCUAAAGAGUUUUCUACUAUCUAUCAUGUCAUGGAUAUCAUGCUCUGCUUGUCCUUGUGAAGGUAUACCCCUGAAAUAUGUGUUUUAACACAUUUUCCUUUCCAUUGUUUGGUUUAACCUUUCUUGUGAUCUAUAUGAUCUAAGCAGUAAUAUUCUCCUGCUUAUGUAAAUGUCUUGAUGUACAAUUCUGUCAGCAAGACCCUGUACUAUUGUUGAUGACAUUCCGGUAGCCACCGAUGGACGAGAACUUGCCUAUUGGUCCGCCUCAUUCAACGAGCAGGAAAAUGGUUCUCUUUGUCCCUCGCCCUUGGUACCAACGAUGCAGUCAACAUAACUGAUAGGCUAUCCUCUGACAUGCCUUGCUUACACGAUCAUGCAAGACGUCAUCGCCCUUCCUACUUCUAACCCACAUGGUGGGCCCAUAACCCACAGUUCCACAGGAUCGAAACCUGACUCACCUGUACAAUCCUGUUUCUAAUGGUUAUUCCCCAUGCUUGGCUUCAUAUUAAAUUACGGGCCACCUUCCUAGUGCUCUAUUCUGGUAUCAGACGCUAUACUUACUCUCGCCGCUCUAAAACCACUUUCUCACUCUGCUUGAGACUUCGAGCAACUAUCUAUCUGCUUGGAACCUCUUAUUGUACCUUCGUACCUCACUCUCGAUGUAUUUUAUAUGUUCAACUCGAGAGAAAAUCUUGUGCUCAUUCAUGGGUUAACCCCCAGAUUGUUCCCCUCAUAGGCAUCCUAUUGUUAUCGACCCGCCCCUUACCUAUUCGUAAGUACGGGAGUUCCCGGAGAAAGGAUGCCGACUUCAUCAUGAUGACCUGGAGAAGAUCAACUUAAUGGAUCAACCUCUUUGAGAAGAGUAACCAAGACCAACAAGACCCGUUAGAAUUUCGUAACCUAAUCCUUUCCCCGCACUUCCCCUCUUAAGUCUCGGGAUGAGAUUUCUUGUAGUGGAGGAGAAUUGUGACGCGCGGGUAAUUAAGCUACAGUGAUCCUCUUCUAAUGAUGCCAUGUCACCUCGAUUAUAGUUGCAAAUCUCGGGUUAGUUCAAAAAUGAUUCAAAUUCAAAAUUGAAUUAAAGGCAAACAACAAAAGUUCUCAAACUUUAAAACUAAAAUGUCCGGGUUGUGCCAAGUAAUGCAAAGUUAAUUGAGGUGAGGAAAUUCCACUUUUAUAAAAUGUUUUAAUACUCUAAAAUGAUUAAAACGGUAGUUAAAAUGAUUGAAUAAGUGCCUUUGAUAUUUAAAAAAAAAUCAUAAACUAUUUUAUUUUGAGGUAAAACUUUUAGGGUAGUGGGUUGUUUUGAAACACUAAGUUGGAGCUAUUGUCAUAUUUUACUAAACAAAGAAUAAAUUGUAACUAAAGUGAAAACAGAAAAGAAAUAGAUAAAAAAAGAAAA